GGAAAAUCUGAAAGGUGGCCUUGUGUGUUGAGUCAGUAUUUGUAUUCUCAGAAGGAAUCCCACUGAUGGCUACGGGGCUUCUAAGUCAGUGUGCUUGUGAUUACACUGUAAGUGUCAGAGCUCAAGUCAGGCAUCGGUCAGCAGUUAAACAACAGAUCUCCUGAAGUCAGAAAAGUUAACUCUUAUUCAAAGUGAAACAGAAGCACUCUGGCCUAGUGGUUCCAGCAACCCUUCUCUGCAGGCCUUGCCCUGAGGGGGCAGGUGUGAGGACUGAAGACCCCGCCUUCCCAGGCCCAAUGAAGGCUACGCCUCCCCUGGGUCUUUCCAAAGCAGUCUCAAACUGGCCUGGCCUGCCUCUUCCUCUAGCUCUGAAGCUUCCUCUGCCUCUGAGUUUUCCCUCCUGGCUGGUACAGGUCCCCACAAACCACGGUCUCUCUCUCCCGAGUCUGACUCCAGCCCCCUUCCCUGCCAGUCCCUGACAUCGUGCAAAGAUUCUCUCCCCCCUCCUAUACCCACUUGAUCCCUGCACUCUGCAGGUGAGAACUUCCUACAGGUGCCAUCUGAUCAGGAGGCCAUGGGGCAUUGUGGCACCUCCUCUUUGGAAUUCCUGCCCCUCAAAUAUUACUGUCUGGGUGGGGUUGCAUGGGAAAACACAGAAGACAUUAGAAACAAAAACCACUCACAAUAUCAUCGGGGGGGGGGCGCUCAGUUGUAUAUAACUUAUCUCAAAAUGUGGAAGUUUUGUAAUAACAGGCGCUUCUUUUACACUUUCUGUUUUACACACAGGUUGAUGGUGAAGCUGAUGUCUAGAUGUUCAUGAAACUAUGGGUCACCUUCUCCCUUUGGAUUGUUCUGCAAAGUUGCUUACCACCACAGAAAUGCACAGGUAUUUGCAAUGCCUGCCUUUUCCUUCAUUGAUUUUUGUUGCUUUUACUGGCUUCCGCAUGCAGUCAAAUUAAAUAAAGUAAAUGAAUUUACCCAAUUAACCAGAUUAAACAAAUUAAACUAAUUAAGAUAAAUGAUCUGGGCUCAAACUAAAUUAGAAUGAAACCAAGUGUUACAAAUCAGAGGGGAAGUUCUCAUUUAUGCCAAAGAUGUGAAGUCCAACCCAUAAGGGGAAAGAGGGAACAGCUGCAUUAAUCGAGGCUGGCUGAAAAGUAUUGCUUUGGUCACCAAGAAGCUCCUUAACUAUAAAAGCCAUCCUUCCACCAAUAAGCAUGAUUGCUUUAAUGCUAUUUCAGCCCAAACAACAUCUCUCUCUUUCCUGGCAUUUGACCCAAUAUCAUAAUCUGUGCUGUCAAAGCCUAUUGUGUAAAAUCAAAAUAUAUAUCUUUAGUGACAACUUCAGACAUUACAUUACAGUUCCUUCACAAAGAUAACCUCAGUGUGCACUUUCAGAUAUACUCUAUGUAAGUGUCAAGGAGCUGUCAACGAGCCAGGUCAUCCACACAGAAUGUGUGGGCAGGUACACACACAGAAGACAUGCAAUGCAAUUAGCUUUUUAUGAGCAUGAAACAACACAGCAACAUCCCUGGUUCAUCUUAAACUCAACGGAGGCAGGCGUUGUUGAAACUAAGCUCUAGGUACAUCCACUCCCCUCUAGACUUUCACUCUGGGUCCCUCUUAAGCAGAUGAAGGCUGCGUUGAGAGGGUGGCCGCCUCCUCCUCUGGGCUUUUUUUGGUGCGUUGCUUCUUGAGGGGAGAGUGAGAGGCGGAGGAGAGCCAGCAGGACGGGGACUGUCUGAGGGCCCACGGUGGCUCUCAGCUUCUAACCCUGUCCUGGAAGGCCCUCCUUCUCCUGAUGUCCCUUGAUCCCUCAGGUCUCCUGCUUCUAUCAGCUCCCAGCUCAUCCCUUCUGCUGGCUGCUCCUCAGUGUCCCACCACCAGGCUCCCUCCCUAGGAGGCUCUUGGAAGGCAGGCUCCCCCCACUCUUCUUCACCCAGCCUGUCCCUGACACAGUGUGCUGUGAUAGGGAAAGCUUAAGUUUUUACACUUGAGGGAGAAAAGAAGAGGCAUUUGGCUCAACCUGUCAGUGCAUCAAAAUCCUGAAAACUUGGUUUAUUGUCAGCUCCAUUAAUUAAGUGGUGUGUUAAUGUGACAUUUUGGGUUGAUUCAAUACCAUAAUUAAUCAGCUAGAGCAGGUGUGGUGAAUCUGUAGCUCUGUAGUUGUUUCUGAACUAUCCUUGGUCAUUGACCUUGUUCACAAGUCCUGAUGGGAGUUGAGGUCCCACAACAUUUCAUACAUUUAAUAAAUAUAUUUUAAAAUACUGUGGGUUUGGUGGCAGGCAGGGGGUAGAAGAGGAAUUCUUCUCUGGCUUGGAUUAAAAUUUGGGAGUUGGAACAUGAGGAGAGCAUUGCAAGUCCCCAAGGCUCGUAUUUCCAAGAUUGGAGGGAUAAGUUUCAGCGGUAUCCCUAAUCCAGAUUGUUUGGUGGAGGAGUUCAUCUUCAUAUUGCAAAUCAGUCACCUCCCCCAACCCAGAAUAAGGAGAAAGGGAGCAGGGAAAUCUCAAGCUGCUUCUUCUCCAGUUUUCAGAUGAAAAGCUGCUACGGUUCUUCCUCCUCCAUUCAUUCCACCAGGCUCUAUUCUUUCUUUGUACUCUCCCAGCACUCUGGAGGCAUUUUCCUAAUCUCAUUGAAAUGUCUACACUUCAUUCAUCCUUACAGCCCAUUCAACAGGUCUCCAUAGAGCAGUGAAUGGAAAUGUGUUUAAACACAUCAGCUGGGCUCUGGAGGAGGGGAGGAGGCGGUGGCGGGGCUCUCUAAUGGCCAGCCAGAUGCUCCUUUUCUUGCUGUUCUUGUCGGAGGUGGCUUUCCAGCCAGCAGGGGCCCAUUUCCACUUAAUCAAGGGCAAUGUGCCCUCAAUUGGCAUUUGUCUUUUUCUUGGCAUGCUUUCCUGCUGUUAGAAACAUUCAGCUGCACAAACCUCCCAGUAGCUCUGGCUCUGACCCUGGCCCUGGAGAAAAAUUAUCCAAUAACAGUGGCUUUCUACAGCUGAUCACCAAGGAAAAGCCAUUAUACCCUCUCCAACAUGUCUCAGGUGAAAGCAGGGAUAUUUCUGCAUAGGAAUGGGCCAAUAUGACCAUUUUGGUUCCUCGCUCUGCCAGAUUUAAAAACAGUUCUCCACAUUUCCAUAUCUGUGAUUCUUUUCCCCAAAGAAGUUCUAAUGAAAAUUUGCCAGUGUUUUUUCUCCCAAAGUGCACAUCUUUGACUGAUCUUCAUUGACUUCUGAAGCACAGUUUGCUUGUUGGUAUACUGACCCUAGCAAUUUACGUAAUACCUCCCAGUGGAUCUGGUUGUCCUGAUUGAAACCACAUGCAGUUACAUUUACUAUCUGAAUGGGGGUUAUGGGGGGGGGAUAUGAACCCCAGACAUUGUAUUUAGAUAUUUUGGUCACAGACCAUCAUAAGAUAAAACAUACGGAUAAACUGAACACAUCAGACUUAAAACAAAAGGGAAAAACUAGUAGUUAAAAGGUGAUUAUAUCAUACAUACAGUGGUACCUCGGUUUUUGAACGUAAUCCAUUCCGGAAGACUGUUCAAUUUCCGAAACGUUUGAAAACCAAAGCAUUUACUUCUGGAAGCAUUUACUUAUGGAAAACUCAAUACGGAAGCCGCGUUCGAAAACCAAAGCAGUUGCUUCCGGAUUUUCGGCAUUCGAAAACCAAUACGUUCGACUCCCAAGAUGUUCGAAAACCGAGGUACCACUGUACAUACAUAACUUUAAAAGAUAAAAACAGGGACAAACUGUUAAAAGCGACUAUGAGGGAGGGAGUGCAGAGGAGCACAAUUCUUGCAUUUUGGGCCUAGUUUGUGGUGCAAACCAUCCUUUGACCAGUAUCCAUCCUGGCAGUGCAAAGUAUAGCAACUGAGUAUGUAACAUCUGGAUUUUCAUCUUGAAGUAGAAGGGAAGUAUAAAGUUGUACUGUAUGACCUGGAAAUUUAUGUAGUAUAGGCAAGAUGAUCCUAGCUUGUAUAUCUGUAUAGUAUUGGCAGUGAAAAAAGACAUGUUCCAUUGUUUCCAGUUGCUCAGAGCCACAGGGGCAUUUCCUCUCUUCGUAUGGUGUCUUCCUAAAGCAGCCUUCCUGGAUGGCUGAAGGAAGAGCCUGGCAGUGGGCGAGAGGGAAAGCCCUUUGCUGUUUUGGAAUUUCAAGGUUGGUUAUAUGGCAUCUGGCUCUGCUUAGUGCAUCCCUUGCCCCUUCUCUGACCACAGGCUCCUCCCGCUCUUUCCCCUGGCUGGGCUUGUCUCCUUCCACUGGGCUUGACGGUUUGGUUGAGCUGUUUUAUUCUUAACUUCCCUCUGCAUCUCUAAGCUGGUCAAGUAGGUUGUUGUUUGCAGCCGAAGACAUUCUGGGGCCAACCCCAAAAUGGUGCCAGGGAAGAAUGGGUGAGGGAAGAUCAGGAAGAAAGAUUGGCAUCAGGACCAGCUGCCCCUGCGGAUGCUGCCACCUGAGGCAGUCGCCUCCUCUUGUCUCAUGGGUGGGGCUGGCCCUGUUGCUGGCUCUGUGCAACUGAGCAAUAUUUGAGGGAAUGCAAAUCCCAUCUGCAGAGAUCUAAUAUUUAAUAACUUAUCAAAAUUUCUACAUCAAGGUGAGCUGGACCAAGCCAUUUAGGUGGCAGGUGCAAGAAUGGCACGACUGAAUGCUUCAUCAAAGAGGUGGGGGUACCUCCUAGAUAUCAGGGAGAACAAUUGCCUUGUAACCUCUUUGCUGAUAUGCUAGCUUAAAUGGACAAGGGUUUAUUCUAGAAACAAACAAAUUCUCCCGCCUGCAGUUUCUUUUUAAAAUCUCAUUGACAUUUAUGUGAACUAGGCCAAAAUCAAAGCUGUAGGAGCCAGCCAAGCCCCAGUCAGACCAGAGAAAUCAUGUAAGAAACACUGACUCAGGUGACUCAGGUGAGAACUUCCAAGGCAGGCUUUUUUCUUUGAUCUGAGCAACUAAAGGAUUUAGCUUGCUGCAGGUCUUGGCUGCAGACACCCUGUUGGUUUUACAAAAUGUCACUCUAUUCCUGACAAUAGGAGUCCCUGCACAUAUUUUAUACAUCUAACUUUACAAUAUAAAAUUCUUUGCAACUGAGAAAAUGUCUUUUCAGAUAUAAGUUAGCUUUGUGUGAAGCACCCCCACCCCCGGUAGAUUCUUCAUUUCCAUAUUUGGACUUUUCUUGAAAAGAUACAAGACUUGGUUCUCAAGUAAGACCAGUGCGCAGUUGGUAAGGUUCAGUGUUGAAUACAAAUUCAGUGAAACCACAGAGGAGAAAGCAUCUAAAUCAUACUGAAAAUAUGUGGUUCGUUUAGCCAAAUGUAAGUGGUGCCUCUUCCCCACGUACAUAUAGGAAAACAGAAAAACACAUAUAUUCAUUUGAACUAUGUUCAGUAUAACACCAACUUUUUUAAAAUUUGUAUUUUUAAUUUUCAUUUAUAACAAAAUGACAUUUCAAACAGUAAAAAAGGUCAUCAUUACAUGUUAAACCUCAACUCCCCUCCCCCUCUUUCUGCAGUUCCUUAAAUUUACUCUUUCCCCCCUUCUUUUCGACCAUUAAAAUGAAUGUAUUAACAAGGAUGUUAUUAAUAUUUCAAUCAAUACCAGUGAUUGGUAAGACAGAUUGCUUCCAGAAAUGGCAAAACAUAUUUCUAAAUAUAUCUAGCAAGGGGAAAAACUGAGAAUAAAAUAUAAAAUACUGAUACAGUGAUACCUUGGUACUUGAACGGCUUGGCUUCUGAACAAAUUGGCUCCCUAACGCCACAAACCUGGAAGUGAGUCUUCUAGUUUGCCAACGUUUUUCAGAAGCCGAAUGUCCGACGUGGCUUCCUUGGCUUCCAGUUGAGUGCAGUAAGCUCCUGCAGCCAAUCGGAAUCCACGCCUUGGGUUUUUUGAACCGUUUCAGGAGUCAAAUGGACUCCCAGAAUGGAUUAAGUUUGAGAACCGAGGUACCACUGUAGAUGCUAAGGAGAGAGGAGGUUUUUCCCUGCCAGAUAUGAGAUUAUAUUAUGAAGCUUCCUGUCUGUGCUGCUUGAAGGAAUAGUUGUCAUUGAAGAAUCCACAUAUCUUAGACGUUGUAGGCAAUGAUAAUAUAUUUGGCUGGUAUGCGUAUUUGUGGUAUGAAAAGUUGAAAGUACAUAAAGGAUUUACAAGCCAUAUAAUUAGGAAAAAUUUGUAUAGCGUAUGGGAUAAAUAUAAAAAUCUAUUGGAAAGAAAAACACCACUUUGGCUUUCACCAGUAGAAGCUAUAGAGGUGAAGAAGAAGAACACGAUGGUGGAAAACUGGGUAACUUAUGGAAACUUAUUAAAGGAGGAAGGUGGAGAAUUUAAAUUAAAAGAGUUUAAGGACCUAUCAGGAGUGUUAACAACAUGGAUGCAAUAUCAUCAUUUAAACAAAGUAUUUAUAAAGGAUAAGAAAUGGGGGUUUGCAGGACAAGUAUCUCAAUUAGAGAGAGACCUAUUAGACUAUAAUGUUAAAAUGAUGUCUAAAAUGUACAAGUUGCUUUUAGAAUGGGAGACAAAAGACGAACAAGUGAAAUCAUCAGUGAUACAUUGGGCAGUCGUUAUUGGUCACAAUAUAGAAAUGGAUGCAUGGGAAUGAUUGUGGAAUACAGAUAUAAAAUUUACAGCAUGCUAUGGUUUAAAAUAAAAUUAUAUGAAAAUGCUAUAUAAAUGGUAUCUAACACCUACCAGAUUGGCAGGAAUAUAUAAACUGAAAUCGAAUAAGUGUUGGAAAUGCAAAGAGAAAGAAGGUACCUUUUUCCAUAUGUGGUAGGCUUGCAGUAAAGUUAAAGCCUACUGGGAAAUGAUAUAUAAUGAAUUGAAAAUGAUGUCUAAGAUAACAUUUGUAAAAAAACAAAACAGAAGCUUUUCUCUUGGAAUUAUGGGAUCAGAAGUACCUAAACAAUAUAGAAAUUUAUUUAUGUAUGCAACCACGGCUGUGAGAACAGUAUUUGCCCAAAGAUGGAAAAAAGAACCAGUCCUGACAAGACAAGAACAGCUACAGAAAUUAAUGGACAAGGCAGAAAUGGCAAAACCUACUAGAAGAAUAAGAAACCAAGACAAACUCUUUAAUAGAGAAUGGAAAUCUUUUAUUGAAUAUUUACAAAUUGUAAACAAAUUAAGACAUUAGCAGGAUUACUGUAAAAAUGUGGAGUUGCUAAAACUUAUAUGAAAUAGAUGAGGAAAAGUAUAAAUAGAUUUAAUUGGGAAAUAUAACACCAACUUUAAAUAUAUUUUUUAAAAAAUUAAAAAAAAAUUGUCCAGUAGCACCUUAGAGACCAACUAAGUUUGUUCUGGGUAUAAGCUUUUGUGUGUGUGCACACUUCUUCAGAUACACGGCUACCUACCUGAAUUUAAAUAUAUUGCGCGCUCUCUCUAUACACACACACACACACACACACACACACACACACACACAGAGUGUGAGAGCAGGAUGGAUGCUGCAUGCUAGACUUGAUGGGCCUUUGGCCUGAUCCAGGGCUGCUCUUCUUACAUUCUCACGUUUGGUUCCCAGGAAACAGCAGCCUAACAUAUGUGCUGGUUACAGUGAGAGUCCAGUGUUGAGUAUAAGUUCAACGACUGAUAAACGCUGUGGAAAAACUUGCACUCCUCUCAGAGUGGGACAGGGUCCCUAUGAGUCAUAAAAUAUUUCAGCAGGAGCAAAGGGACGACAAGGGCAGAUUUUCAUUUGGGCCAAAGCCAGCUGUGCAACCUGAUUUCAGUGUCAGAGGACAUGUGAAAUAGCAGAGGGGUACCUGAACACGUGCAGAGUGCAUUUCCUUCAAAUCCUAUCCACAAUAAUGGGAGGAGUGGAGUUAGUUGGGAGUGGCUGCCAAGCAGAUUUGAGCCCCAGCACAUUCCUUUUUAGAAACCAACAAAUGUGUAGGGAAAUGUGGGGACGGGGGGGGGGGACGGGGGGGGACGUAAGAGUCUAAUUGCAAGGCGAAGAUCUGUUUCUGCCCUGCUGAAAUAGCCAACCAGCAACUGACAGGGCCUGGUGCCCCUGUCUCCCCCUGUGCCGGCCUUACAAGGAGGAGACUGGGGGAGUUGAGUGGCGCUUGCCUGAGUCUGCAGCUCAGCAGUCUAGGCCAAGAGUGGUGGGGUUGUAGUCUGAGCAGCAGACUGGAAAUCUUUGAAGAAUAGACUUCAAAGGGAAAGGGGAGGGAAGAAACAAUGUAUAAUCUUCAUACAAAUGUGCUCAAGGGUCUCUGAAGCUCAAAGCCUUUCCUGAUUUUAGAAUUAAUUAUCACUUGCCACUAGCAAGCUUUUAUUCACAGGUAACUGGUACAGCAAUCAGAGGCCUUUAGGUGUAAAAUUCAUGAAAUUAUAUUAAACUGAUUAAAGCUAAGUAAACCACCAGAUUUCCCUUUGGUAUCUUUGCAGCACUCCCCCUCCCCAAAUUCCCUUCCAAAUGUUUGAUGUCAAAUCCUCUGCAUCAUUUAUAUGCAGGGAGUGGGGCCAGCUCCCAAAAAUUCAAAUGUUGAAAGGGCUAUAUUGGAAAUACUGCAAAAUAUAAAUUAGAAAUUAUCCUUGCCACGCUCUCCGGCUUUUUGGUGAAUAAGUGAGCAUAUGCAAACUCAGGCACCAGCGUUCCUCAACAAAUGCAAAAGCAGUUCCGGGAAGGAGUCUUGCUGGUGUAAAUCAGCAUGCCACAAUUUGAGUUAUAUUGUUGGAGAGUCUGACCCCAAACCAUUUGUCAACCCCAUGACUCUACCGUCUAUAUUUUCAGCAUUCUUUUUGACAAUGGAAGGAGAAUGUCACAAAGAUAACUCUCCCUAGACUAAUAAAUAAAUAGUUGACAUAGUUCUUCCCAUCAUCUCUAUUUCCCAGGGACAGUCCCGGAUUUAAAGAAGCCGUCUUGGUUUCUGAUAUGAUCCUGGAAUGUCCCGCUUCUCCUUAGGUCAUCUCUGUUUCCAUCGGAGAAAGGUUGGAGGGCAGGAGGUAAGACUGGGAACGUCCCCAGUCUGAAACCCUUAAUAGCCUCUACCAGUCAGUGCAAGCAAUGCUGACUCCUCGGGUACCUUCCUGUGUUCCUAUCUGCCUCCCUUACUUGCAAUUGAGAGUAAAGCAUUUUAAGAGGGGUAACUGAUUUGCGAUAAGUGAUCCCGGAAGAGCUGCUGAUUGUCUAAAUUGGCCUUGGUUUGGUGCUGUUAAUUGCUCAUUUGUAUGGCAUGAGACUAGUGCUGCAGAAGUCAACAAGUUCAGCAAUUCCAGGAUCGGGAUCAGCAUGCCCUAAAUACAAGCAUUUUAAAAGGAGAAGCCAGACAAAUGUAGUACAAUAAUGUAAAACUGUCAAGAUUGUUUUUGAUCUCUCACUCACUGGUUAUGUGUCAGCAUUGCUCCAAUAGCUCCCAGCUUGUGCCUAUGGAGAGAUGUUUUCUCAAAGCUCUGCAUGAAGAAAGGUUGGUUCCUUGCUUGUUUCGUAGGGCCAGGAACCCAUGUCUGGAGGCACUUGUGGGCUGGAUGAGGCAAAAUAAUCUGAGCUUGAAUCCUGGCAAGGCUCUGUGGGCGCGGGGUUCUCGUGUUGGAGAAAUCAAGAAGUCAAUUACCUGCUCUGGAUGGGGCUGCCCUCCCUCUGAAGGAGCAUGUGUGCUGCCUUGGGAUGCUCCUGGAUCUAGCUUGGUCACUGAGGUCCAAGUGGUCUCAGUGGCAAGGAGUGCCUUUUAGAGGCUUCAGCUGGUAAGACAACUGCAACCAUCCCUGGACCUGCAGAGCUUGAUCACAGUGGUCCAGGCACUGGUAAGUUCAAGGCUGGACUACUGCAAUGCAGUCUACAUGGGGCUUCCCUUGUGCUUCAUCUGGAAACUGUAUUUGGUCAGAAUGCUACAGCAUGAUUGCUUAUAGCAAGGGUGAAACUAGGUUUUAUUUCACCUGGGUCAAAGACCCAGUUUGGCACCCCCACAUGCACACAGAGAGAAACUGAGAGCCUCAACAGUGCCCCUCUGGAGGCUUCACCUGGGACAAAACACCCAGCUAGCCCCGCCACAGCAACAGCUCUGCUCAUAGUAAUGCAAUUUGUCAAUUAUUACACCAGUGCUCCAAGAACUGCACUGGCUGCCAGUUCACUGGGUUGAGCUCAAGAUGUUACUUCAAGAUGUUACCUUAACAGCUUGGGGCCAGUUUACUUAAGGGACCACCUUGCCCCCACAUGCCCGCUCUGUCAUUUGGAACUGCGGAACGUCCCACCUGCAUUUGUAAGGAGUGCGGCAGCGCUUAUACUUUGGAACUCCCUGCCUAUUGACGUUAGGCAGGGGCCAUCACUACACUCCUUUAGACGUCUGCUGAACAUGUUUCUGUUUCAGUCAGUUCUGUAUUCAGACACAUUACUGGUUACACGUGUUUUAUUGUUUUUAGAUGCUUUUAACAGUUAAAUGUUUGAAAUAUGUUUUUAUUUCAACUGUGUUUUCAUCACAGAUGUGUUUGCCACCCUGGAAGGAGGAAUGGACGAAGAGGAAUGGACAUAUGCAAGAAAGGUGGUGGUCAUGGUUCAAAAGGAGAGGUGGCACUCAGCCCUGCUCUAUGAUCAGCUUGGGGCUCUUAAAACCAUGAGCAGGACCUAAAAGCAGUGGUCAACGCUGAGCUCUGGUGUAAGAGGGGGGUGAGAAUACUCGGAGAGUUGUAACUUUGUGGAACUGUCUUUGUUCAAUUUUUAGAUUUCUUGGUAGAUCAACUCAUCCACCCAGACUGCUGCAUAUAAAAAGGGGGUGUGGGUGUUUUCUUCUUUGGGGGACAUUCUUGUGUGAUGAACAUUUAGAUGCCAAGCCCAUCUCUUUUGGCUCAUUGCUGAGAUUCCCAAGACUGCAAAGCCGCAGGUGACUGGCUUUGCUUCCUGCCCCCUGCCAAAGAGAAAAUUGUUGACCUUCUGGAGCAUUUGUUUGAUUAGAGAUAGUUGACACAGCUUGUGGGAAAUCAUUUUGUAGGGGGAAAGAAUCUUACUAGUUCCUCUGUAUCCUUAGCUUUCAUCUUCCCUCCCGCUGCGUAUCAUGAACGGCCCACCAAAAAUAUCUUGUGAGGACUAAGGGUGAGGCCAGGCAGAUCUUCCCA
rnacentral:lncRNA from 1 species